GGGCGGACUCGGGAGGAGCUGCCGAUACAAAGGCCUGGCUGGGGAGAAUUCCCGAGCCACCUGUGACAUCAAGAUCAAGAUCAAGAUCACCUUCGUCAUUCCUCACGGUCUCAGAGGAGGCCGUUUUUUUUUAGCCUCUGGACGCCGGAAUUUUGGUGUCCUUGCCUCCUACGCCAUGGUGAAGGUGACGGUGGAGUACUGUGGGGGAUGAGGUUACGGACCCCGCUAUGAGGAGCUGGCCAGGGUCAUCAUGGCAAAGGUUCCUCAGGCGGAGGUGACGGGCUUCGUGGGCCGCUCAACUUCUUUUGAAGUUAGUAUAGACAGCAAUGAAGUACACUCCAAGUUAAAGAC